GCGCCCAUAGCUCAGAUGGAUAGAGCGUCAGCCUCCGGAGCUGAAGGCCGCUGGUUCGAAUCCAGCUGGGCGCACCA
rnacentral:tRNA from 1 species